rnacentral:tRNA from 1 species
GGGCUUUUGGCGCAACCGGUUAGCGCUCCCGGCUCAUAACCGGGAUGUUCUGGGUUCGAAUCCCAGAGAGCCCA